rnacentral:tRNA from 1 species
GCCGACUUAGCUCAGUUGGUAGAGCAUCGCUCUUGUAAAGCGGGGGUCGAAGGUUCGAAUCCUUUAGUCGGCAUCA